GACAGAGGGUGCAAACGUUGUUCGGAAUUACUGGGCGUAAAGGGCGCGUAGGCGGCCUUCUAAGUCGGACGUGAAAUCCCUCGGCUCAACCGAGGAACUGCGUCUGAUACUGGAAGGCUUGAAUCCGGGAGAGGGAUGUGGAAUUCCAGGUGUAGCGGUGAAAUGCGUAGAUAUCUGGAGGAACACCAGUGGCGAAAGCGGCUCUCUGGGACGGUACUGACGCUGAGACGCGAAAGCGUGGGGAGCGAACAGG
rnacentral:rRNA from 1 species